GCGCGCAGGCGGCUAUCUACGUCCGGGGUGAAAGCCCAGAGCUCAACUCUGGGACUGCCUUGGAUACGGGAUAGCUUGAGGAUCGGAGAGGCAAGGGGAAUUCCACGUGUAGCGGUGAAAUGCGUAGAGAUGUGGAGGAACACCUGUGGCGAAGGCGCCUUGCUGGCCGAUUUCUGACGCUGAGGCGCGAAAGCGUGGGGAGCAAACAGGAUUAGAUACCCUGGUAGUCCACGCCGUAAACGAUGAGUGCUAGGUGUUGGGGGGUACCACCCUCAGUGCCGAAGCUAACGCAUUAAGCACUCCGCCUGGGGAGUACGGUCGCAAGACUGAAACUCAAAGGAAUUGACGGGGGCCCGCACAAGCAGUGGAGCAUGUGGUUUAAUUCGAAGCAACGCGAAGAACCUUACCAAGACUUGACAUCCCGCUGACCGCUCUAGAGAUAGAGUUUCCCUUCGGGGCAGCGGUGACAGGUGGUGCAUGGUUGUCGUCAGCUCGUGUCGUGAGAUGUUGGGUUAAGUCCCGCAACGAGCGCAACCCUUACAUUGUGUUGCCAUCAUUAGGUUGGGCACUCACAAUGGACUGCCGGUGACAAACCGGAGGAAGGCGGGGAUGA
rnacentral:rRNA from 1 species